rnacentral:rRNA from 1 species
AGUGAACGCUGGCGGUAGGCCUAACACAUGCAAGUCGAACGGCAGCACAGUAAGAGCUUGCUCUUACGGGUGGCGAGUGGCGGACGGGUGAGGAAUACAUCGGAAUCUACUUUUUCGUGGGGGAUAACGUAGGGAAACUUACGCUAAUACCGCAUACGACCUACGGGUGAAAGCAGGGGAUCUUCGGACCUUGCGCGAUUGAAUGAGCCGAUGUCGGAUUAGCUAGUUGGCGGGGUAAAGGCCCACCAAGGCGACGAUCCGUAGCUGGUCUGAGAGGAUGAUCAGCCACACUGGAACUGAGACACGGUCCAGACUCCUACGGGAGGCAGCAGUGGCGAAUAUUGGACAAUGGGCGCAAGCCUGAUCCAGCCAUACCGCGUGGGUGAAGAAGGCCUUCGGGUUGUAAAGCCCUUUUGUUGGGAAAGAAAAGCAGCAGGUUAAUACCCCGCUGUUCUGGCGGUACCCGAAGAAUAAGCACCGGCUAACUUCGUG